GAUGAACGCUGGCGGCGUGCCUAAUACAUGCAAGUCGAGCGAACGGACGAGAAGCUUGCUUUUCUGAUGUUAGCGGCGGACGGGUGAGUAACUCGUGGAUAACCUACCUAUAAGACUGGGAUAACUUCGGGAAACCGGAGCUAAUACCGGAUAAUAUUUUGAACCGCAUGGUUCAAAAGUGAAAGACGGUCUUGCUGUCACUUAUAGAUGGAUCCGCGCUGCAUUAGCUAGUUGGUAAGGUAACGGCUUACCAAGGCAACGAUGCAUAGCCGACCUGGGAGGGUGAUCGGCCACACUGGAACUGAGACACGGUCCAGACUCCUACGGGAGGCAGCAGUAGGGAAUCUUCCGCAAUGGGCGAAAGCCUGACGGAGCAACGCCGCGUGAGUGAUGAAGGUCUUCGGAUCGUAAAACUCUGUUAUUAGGGAAGAACAUAUGUGUAAGUAACUGUGCACAUCUUGACGGUACCUAAUCAGAAAGCCACGGCUAACUACGUG
rnacentral:rRNA from 1 species